rnacentral:ncRNA from 1 species
GCGGCUCGGGUCUGAGGUUGAAAGUCCAAGCCAGCUACGGGCAAAGGGAUCCGCGUAAGCUGUACCCGAGAUGCGGGCAGUGAUCAUGGCGUAGUUUAGAAGUAAGUCCUCCGGAAACCGGAUAAAGGCAAGUGCGGGGUCAAAGACCUGGUCAGCCGAGCCGC